UGGGUUUUUUAAUGAAGUUUUAUUAUUAAUGAAAUAGUUUUAGUAAUUGUACUUUUUAAAUUGAAUAAUAGAAUAGUAAGACCCAUAAAUAGUGAAGAGCAUGCUCUUGGGGAAGAGCACGGUUGAGAGUGUUGGGUCUUAGCUAAGAGAAAGCGCCCAGCUGAACAUUUCUCAAGAAUUAAUAGGUAGAGAAAUUAAUUAGUUAUAUGAUUAAAAUUCCGACAAUAAAUUCCUGAUUUUCAAAUUAACUAAAUUAUAAAUAACUAAAAUUUAAAAAUAAAAUAAAAUUAUAACAUAAAAUUACUAAAUUAUCUUUAUAAAAUUUUAAAAUUGUGAGGCCCCACGCACCAUGCAGCAUGUAUUAUAUACACACACAUGGUUGCUAAUAGUAACUUAAAUCCCAACUGAGUUUUGAGAGUAAUUGCUUUAGGUUUUAUAUAAAUCCAAAAAUGGGUUCAACAAGAAUUGAAAUUAUGAUUCUUCUUUUAUUGAUGGCUCUCCUCAUUUCGUCACAAGUUGGAGACGCUCGACAGCUCAAUCCAGUUUCAUCUAAAGAAGGUGAAAAGAUGAGAACUUUAGGUAAUUGUACGUAUGGAUGCUGUGGUGCGUACAGCGGAUCAGGCAAAGGCGGAGGCAAAAGCGGAGGUGGAGGCAAAGGCGGAGGCAAACCCGGAGGCAGAAGCGGAGGCGGAUAUUGCCACUGCUGCAAAUAUCCCAACACUCACAAUCCAACCAACACCCAUACUUAGGCUUCUUGGUUUGAUGGAAUGGAAUAAGGAGGGAAUAAAAUGGAGAUGAGAAUGAAAUGAGAAUUCCAUUCCAUUCUUGUGCUUGGUGAAUGUAAGGAAUACAGAUGGAAUAGAAUUGAGUAGUGUGUGUAAAUUAUGCAUAGUGUGUGUUGUGUGCAAUGUGUGUAGUGUGUGUUUAGUGUGCAUAAUAGUGUGUGUACAAUGUCUGUAGUGUUAAUUUUUAUUAAUAAUUAAAAAUUCUAAAAUUUUAAA